UUUUGUUGUGGGCAAAGCGCUCCCUCCUCAGGUUAAACCGCUCAUGUUCUUAGACUGGAUUCAUGUUGGGGGACUUUUAGACAUCGCGCUCUUUGAGAACCUCGCGUUUGCAAGGAAAACCCUUUCCAGAGAGAAACCCAGCCACGGGGACAUGGAGGGACAGCUGUCGUUUGGCUGUGAACGGCUAUGGCCAUGGCAGGACCUUCACAGACCACACACCUGGAAAGUGAGACCAACAGUAUGACGGCCACUUCCUACCCUGCAGCCCUUGCACUGAGCAACGCUCCUCCACCAUGUAGAGCCAAACAACCAUGGACUGAGCCCUCCGAAUCCAAAUGCCAAACCAAAGAUUUACGCCUUGACUGAAAGGAAGAGUACAUCUGCCCAGGGCAGAGUGGAUGGUGUACUCCAGCCAUUUGUGACUCUUCUUCCUUCCUAAUGAGCAGAUGGCACCCUGCCUUUGUUCUAAUCUGAACAAUAGCACUCACCAGAAGCCCCAGAAUACUCGCUCUUUCUUACAGUCACAUGGUCACUCACACGUAUAAAUAAGUCUCCUCUGAACCCUGACACAACCCUGCUUCCGGAAGGGAUGCAAGCUGCAUGUUUACCUUGCUGGCCUUUAGAGCCUUUGUUGCCCCUUCCACCAGCUGCUCCUGGAGAUCCUGGGUUUCCAUCCUUGCCUGGUUUACCUUUUGGUCCACAGGGCCCUAGGCAAAAGGCAGUGUUGUAUGACAUGCUGUCCUAUUAGAAUAAGAGGUCAGGCUGCCACCCGUCCGAGGAAGCAUGGGACUUUUGCAGUAUCGCCUGCCGUGGUUGACACCCCAGGAAGGCCUCUAGUCCUGAGCAAACAUGUCAGUGUGCUCACUGACUUCCCAAGAAUGCCUUAAGAAACCAUGAAUAGGGGGGCUGGAGAGAUGGCUCAGCGGUUAAGAGCAUUGCCUGCUCUUCCAAAGGUCCUGAGUUCAAUUCCCAGCAACCACAUGGUGGCUGACAACCAUCUGAAAUG